UACGAAGGGGGCUAGCGUUGCUCGGAAUCACUGGGCGUAAAGGGUGCGUAGGCGGGUCUUUAAGUCAGGGGUGAAAUCCUGGAGCUCAACUCCAGAACUGCCUUUGAUACUGAAGAUCUUGAGUUCGGGAGAGGUGAGUGGAACUGCGAGUGUAGAGGUGAAAUUCGUAGAUAUUCGCAAGAACACCAGUGGCGAAGGCGGCUCACUGGCCCGUAACCGACGCUGAGGCACGAAAGCGUGGGGAGCAAACAGG
rnacentral:rRNA from 1 species